UAGCGGAACUCCUACGGGAGGCAGCAGUGGGGAAUAUUGCACGAUGGGCGGAAGCCUGAUGCAGCGACGCCGCGUGGGGGAUGACGGCCUUCGGGUUGUAAACCACUUUCAGCAGGGAAGAAGCUUUUUGUGACGGUACCUGCAGAAGAAGCGCCGGCUAACUACGUGCCAGCAGCCGCGGUAAUACGUAGGGCGCGAGCGUUAUCCGGAAUUAUUGGGCGUAAAGAGCUCGUAGGCGGUUUGUCGCGUCUGCUGUGGAAGCCCGGGGCUUAACCCCGGGUGUGCAGUGGGUACGGGCAGACUAGAGUGCAGUAGGGGAGACUGGAAUUCCUGGUGUAGCGGUGAAAUGCGCAGAUAUCAGGAGGAACACCGAUGGCGAAGGCAGGUCUCUGGGCUGUUACUGACGCUGAGGAGCGAAAGCAUGGGGAGCGAACAGGAUUAGAAACCCUAGUAGUCCACUUAUG
rnacentral:rRNA from 1 species